rnacentral:rRNA from 1 species
UAUGAAGGGGGCGAGCGUUGUUCGGAAUCACUGGGCGUAAAGGGUGCGUAGGCGGCGCGGUAAGUCGGGUGUGAAAUCUUGGAGCUUAACUCCGAAACUGCAUUCGAUACUGCCGUGCUUGAGGACUGGAGAGGAGACUGGAAUUUACGGUGUAGCGGUGAAAUGCGUAGAUAUCGUAAGGAAGACCAGUGGCGAAGGCGGGUCUCUGGACAGUUCCUGACGCUGAGGCACGAAGGCCAGGGGAGCAAACGGG